UAACUAACACUUUGGAAUUGUCUUUCACACCAACCAAGUGCAGAUAUUCAUGAUCUUCUUUUUCUUUUCCCCGGAAUAGAAGUUUUUGCAGCUUAGGCUCCAAACCGAUUAUUGAGGAAAGGAUACUUUUUACUUCACCAAAAGUGAGUUCAGGUGGCACAGGAAGGUCAAAUUCUUGAGAAGCAUACGAGACCUUGAUGAUUAUAGUGGGAUUAGCGGCAGCAUCGUUUUCUCUCUUCUGAACAAGCAUGCCGCUCGGUCUAAUUUCCCAAGCAGCUUCAUCGCCGCAACUGGUACUGCUAUUGAUUGACUCUUUCAUCCCCAAAUCGGAGAUGGAUUAUCGAUCUUCCACAACAGAGAUUGAUACCAGUAACAAUUUGAAGAUUAUUUGAGAAAGGGAGACGACAAAGG
rnacentral:misc_RNA from 1 species